rnacentral:rRNA from 1 species
AACGAACGCUGGCGGCAUGCCUAACACAUGCAAGUCGAACGAGACCUUCGGGUCUAGUGGCGCACGUGUGCGUAACGCGUGGGAAGCUGCCCUUAGGUUCGGAAUAACUCACCGAAAGGUGUGCUAAUACCGGAUAAUGUCAUCGGACCAAAGAUUUAUCGCCUUUGGAUGGGCCCGCGUUGGAUUAGCCAGUUGGUAGGGUAUAAGCCUACCAAGGCGACGAUCCAUAGCUGGUGUGAGAGGAGGAUUAGCCACACUGGGACUGAGACACGGCCCAGACUCGGACGGGAGAGAGCAGUAGAGAGUAUUAGGGGAUGAGCGAUGGUCUGACACAGCAGUGCCGCGUGAGUGAUGAAGGCCUUAGUGUUGUAAAGCUCUUUUACCCGAAGUGAUAGUGACGGUACCGGGUGAAUAAGCUCCGGCUAACUCCGUG